AUUGAACGCUGGCGGCAGGCUUAACACAUGCAAGUCGAACGAUGAUUAUCUAGCUUGCUAGAUAUGAUUAGUGGCGGACGGGUGAGUAACAUUUAGGAAUCUACCUAGUAGUGGGGAUAGCUCGGGGAAACUCGAAUUAAUACCGCAUACGACCUACGGGUGAAAGGGGGCGCAAGCUCUUGCUAUUAGAUGAGCCUAAAUCAGAUUAGCUAGUUGGUGGGGUAAAGGCCCACCAAGGCGACGAUCUGUAACUGGUCUGAGAGGAUGAUCAGUCACACCGGAACUGAGACACGGUCCGGACUCCUACGGGAGGCAGCAGUGGGGAAUAUUGGACAAUGGGGGCAACCCUGAUCCAGCCAUGCCGCGUGUGUGAAGAAGGCCUUUUGGUUGUAAAGCACUUUAAGCAGGGAGGAGAGGCUAAUGGUUAAUACCCAUUAGAUUAGACGUUACCUGCAGAAUAAGCACCGGCUAACUCUGUGCCAGCCGCCGCGGUAACAC
rnacentral:rRNA from 1 species